UUACAAAAUUGUUUCUGACAAUCACAAUACACGCAUAGCCUAACAACUCUCGACCUCACGCGCGCGCUCUCUCUCUCUCUCUCUCUCCCCUCCCUCCUCCCAUGGCUGCCUCUGGUUCGAAGCCCCAUCCUCCCUCUAGUUCCAAACCUCCCAAAAACCCCAUAACCCUCAAACCCACAAAUGAAACCCAAACUCCAAACCCUAACCCUUCCACCUCCAACAUCCCUCCUGUCCCACCCUCCCAAGAAGAAAUCGCUCUCUCAGGCGCCUCCCAGCUCACGCGCCUGGAGGUCCUCCGCCGCCGUUCCUACUUCUUAAGGCAGCUCAGAAAAUUCUACCAAUCCAAAUACUGGGCCUUCAUGGAGGAGGUCAAGAAGAAGCACAGGGAGUUCUACUGGAACUUCGGUGUGAGCCCUUUCAAAGAUGAGCACAAGAGCGAUAGAGACGCUACUGGGAAUGCUGAAGGCACUGAUGAGAACAAUAACAACAUCAACAGCAAUUUCAACAACAAUAAUGGUGGUGCUGCGAUUGCUCGGACCGACGUCGAUGCGAAAAAGAAACUGCAAUGCUCUUAUCAUCAGUGUAAGACGAAGGCCAUGCCGUUGACGAGCUUUUGUCACCUCCAUAUUCUAUCGGAUUCGAAGCAGAAGCUCUAUAAGCCUUGUGGGUUUGUUAUCAAGAGUGCUCAUACAGGACCUCUAACCUGUGGGAAGCCAAUACUGAGAUCCACUGUUCCUUCUCUUUGUACUCAUCACUUCCAAGUGGCUCAGAAGGCUAUCAAAAAGGCCUUGAAGAAGGCAGGCCUUAAUGGGCCAUCAACAAAUAAGCUUGCUCCAAAGUUCCAUGUCAUAGUAGCAGAAUAUGUACGCCAAAUUCAGGCCAAACGAAGAGCUGCACAAAGGGCAAAGGGAAAGAAAGUCGCAAUUAAGGAAGAAACCUCUGACUGAACCUCUCCACUGGCAGCUGCAUAAAUGAUUCAUCGAGUAUUGUUGAUUGUGUGAAAUGAGGGAAAACCAGAGGUAUAGAUUACGGAUUUUAAUGUGGAACAGGUAUAAUUCAUUAUGUAUCACUAAGCAUGGGCGAAGUCAGGAGUUAUAAUAAUUUUAAUAGGUGGUAUUUGGUUGUUGGAAUGGAGCCUAUUUGGGUUUGGAAACAGAAGAGGAUACGGGUAGCUGCCGGAUUGAACUUGUAGGUCGAACUGGCCAAUUAAAGGACCCGGGCUGACCCGACUCAUUUAAAUUGGACAAAUUCAUGCGUCGUUUCAAAAUGCAGCCUAUUUGUUCUCAUAAACGGACCAGGGCUACAAGGCUAUGUAUUUUUUGCUUUUGUAGAAAAUUAUUUUUUAGAAAUUUUUUUUCUUUCUAAGAAUUAGAUUUUAUUUAUUUAUUUUUUCUACUUGAAAAUUUGAAUUUGCUUGUUGAGCAUAUAUUACUGUUUGGGUAUGUGGUCAUGGUCAAUUGAGGCUCAUUUUAUCUAGUCCAAUCAGAACAAAGGUUAAGAUCUAAUCCAAUUGACAUUAAAUUGGACGGUUGUUCUUAGUAAGGGAAAAAAAAAAUUUGAAAUACGAGAUACUUACUUUUCAAUCUAAUCCAUUCGUUGGAAUGUUGUUCUUAUGAGUAACUGUUUUUAACCACUUAGCUACAGUCCUCUUGCCUUUAAAGUGGGAGAAACGUUGACAUUUUAUUUUCAUUUCAAAUUUUUAGUUUAACAAGUCAGUUUACUAUUUUAUUCUUGGUUAAUAA